rnacentral:rRNA from 1 species
ACGGAAGGCAGCAGUGGGGAAUAUUGGACAAUGGGGGAAACCCUGAUCCAGCGACGCCGCGUGAGUGAAGAAGUAUUUCGGUAUGUAAAGCUCUAUCAGCAAGGAAGAAAAUGACGGUACUUGACUAAGAAGCCCCGGCUAACUACGUGCCAGCAGCCGCGGUAAUACGUAGGGGGCAAGCGUUAUCCGGAUUUACUGGGUGUAAAGGGAGCGUAGACGGCAAAGCAAGUCUGAAGUGAAAUCCCGGGGCUCAACCCUGGAACUGCUUUGGAAACUGUUUAGCUAGAGUGCAGGAGAGGUAAGUGGAAUUCCUAGUGUAGCGGUGAAAUGCGUAGAUAUUAGGAGGAACACCGGAGGCGAAGGCGGCUCACUGGACGAUCACUGACGUUGAGGCUCGAAAGCGUGGGGAGCAAACAGGAUUAGAUACCCUGGUA